rnacentral:rRNA from 1 species
UACGUAGGGGGCAAGCGUUGUCCGGAUUUAUUGGGCGUAAAGAGCGUGUAGGCGGCCACGCGUGUCUUUCGUGAAAUCCCUCGGCUUAACUGAGGACGUGCGGAAGAAACUGCGAGGCUUGAGUCCGGGAGAGGGGGGUGGAAUUCCCAGUGUAGCGGUGAAAUGCGUAGAUAUUGGGAGGAACACCGGUGGCGAAGGCGGCCCCCUGGACCGGUACUGACGCUGAGGCGCGAAAGCGUGGGUAGCAAACGGG